rnacentral:tRNA from 1 species
AGAAUGUUAAAUAGAGUUUUCUAUGUUUGACUACGGAUCAAAAAGGGAUACAUUUUG